GUGCCAGCAGCCGCGGUAAUACGUAGGUGGCAAGCGUUGUCCGGAAUCACUGGGCGUAAAGCGCGCGCAGGCGGCCGUUUAAGUCUGGGGUGAAAGCCCGAAGCUCAACUUCGGGACUGCCUUGGAUACUGGAUGGCUUGAGCAUUGGAGAGGCAAGGGGAAUUCCACGUGUAGCGGUGAAAUGCGUAGAGAUGUGGAGGAACACCCGUGGCGAAGGCGCCUUGCUGGCCAAUUGCUGACGCUGAGGCGCGAAAGCGUGGGGAGCAAACAGGAUUAGAUACCCUGGUAGUCC
rnacentral:rRNA from 1 species